rnacentral:rRNA from 1 species
UACGAAGGGGGCUAGCGUUGCUCGGAAUUACUGGGCGUAAAGCGCACGUAGGCGGCUUUCUAAGUCGGGGGUGAAAUCCUGGAGCUCAACUCCAGAACUGCCUUCGAUACUGGAGAGCUUGAGUCCGGGAGAGGUGAGUGGAACUGCGAGUGUAGAGGUGAAAUUCGUAGAUAUUCGUAAGAACACCAGUGGCGAAGGCGGCUCACUGGCCCGGUACUGACGCUGAGGUGCGAAAGCGUGGGGAGCAAACAGG